rnacentral:rRNA from 1 species
AGAAUCAACGCUGGCGGCGUGCCUAACACAUGCAAGUCGAACGCGAAAGGGGAGCAAUCCCUGAGUAGAGUGGCAAACGGGUGAGUAACACGUGGGUGACCUGCCUUCGAGUGGGGGAUAACGUUCCGAAAGGAACGCUAAUACCGCAUGACAUCCUGCUUUUGGAAAAGCGGCGAUCAAAGCUGGGGAUUCGCAAGAACCUAGCGCUUGAAGAGGGGCCCGCGCCUGAUUAGCCAGUUGGUGAGGUAACGGCUCACCAAGGCUACGAUCAGUA